UACAGAGGGUGCGAGCGUUAAUCGGAAUUACUGGGCGUAAAGCGCACGUAGGUGGCGAUGUAAGUCGGGUGUGAAAGCCCCGGGCUCAACCUGGGAAUUGCAUUCGAGACUGCAUUGCUGGAGUACGGAAGAGGAAGGCGGAAUUCCCGGUGUAGCGGUGAAAUGCGUAGAUAUCGGGAGGAACAUCAGUGGCGAAGGCGGCCUUCUGGUCCAGUACUGACGCUCAAGUGCGAAAGCGUGGGGAGCAAACAGG
rnacentral:rRNA from 1 species